AUUGAACGCUGGCGGCAGGCCUAACACAUGCAAGUCGAGCGGAUGAGGGAAGCUUGCUUCCCGAUUUAGCGGCGGACGGGUGAGUAAUGCCUAGGAAUCUGCCUAUUAGUGGGGGAUAACGUUCCGAAAGGAACGCUAAUACCGCAUACGUCCUACGGGAGAAAGUGGGGGAUCUUCGGACCUCACGCUAAUAGAUGAGCCUAGGUCGGAUUAGCUAGUUGGUGGGGUAACGGCUCACCAAGGCGACGAUCCGUAGCUGGUCUGAGAGGAUGAUCAGCCACACUGGAACUGAGACACGGUCCAGACUACUACGGGAGGCAGCAGUGGGGAAUAUUGGACAAUGGGCGAAAGCCUGAUCCAGCCAUGCCGCGUGUGUGAAGAAGGUCUUCGGAUUGUAAAGCACUUUAAGUUGGGAGGAAGGGUUGUAAGCUAAUAUCUUGCAGCUUUGACGUUACCAACAGAAUAAGCACCGGCUAACUUCGUGCCAGCCGCCGCGGUAACAC
rnacentral:rRNA from 1 species